UCCGGUUUAUCACCGGCAGUCUCCUUAGAGUGCCCAACUAAAUGAUGGCAACUAAGAACAAGGGUUGCGCUCGUUGCGGGACUUAACCCAACAUCUCACGACACGAGCUGACGACAACCAUGCACCACCUGUCACCGUUGUCUCCGAAGAGAAAACCAUGUCUCCAUGAUGGUCACCGGGAUGUCAAGACCUGGUAAGGUUCUUCGCGUUGCUUCGAAUUAAACCACAUGCUCCACCGCUUGUGCGGGCCCCCGUCAAUUCCUUUGAGUUUCACACUUGCGUGCGUACUCCCCAGGCGGAGUGCUUAAUGCGUUAGCUGCAGCACUAAGGGGCGGAAACCCCCUAACACUUAGCACUCAUCGUUUACGGCGUGGACUAC
rnacentral:misc_RNA from 1 species